GGAUCAAUGGAUUGGUCAUGCCGAUGGUGUGUACUGGUCAUAUUGGUUCUCACCUUCUAAGGAACCAUAAUGUCAUUUAUUUGAUGUUGUGGGGAAUUAGGACUGUUACCUUGAAAAAAUUAGAGUGUUUAAAACAGGCUUAUGCUUGAAUACAUUAGCAUGGAAUAACGGAAUAGGACU
rnacentral:rRNA from 1 species